rnacentral:lncRNA from 1 species
UGAGCCAGGACAAUCAAAGAUCUACCCAAUAACACUUCAUAUGAGCUGGCAUUAUAUCACAAUUUUCCAAAGGUUACAGUUUCUAGACAAGGUUGAAAUUUUUGACCAAAGAUUUUCAAACUGAUUUUUCAUCAGGCUUUUCUUGAUUGAUGCCCCUUUUUCUUUUUCUCCAUCAGUGGCCUCAUUUUUCCUAUAUCCUAAAAAUGUUCCUGAUACAAUAGACUAAAAGAUAUCCAUCCUUUGUAUUGAAGUGAUCCAUAGGGUGAAUCAUGUUUUUGAAUACGAUUAUAACAUCUUUGACAUCUUCAUAACACUAAUUAUAGGGUUACAAUGUUUCUGCUAUCUCUCUUUGACCCCUUUGUAUAACAGUAAUUAAUUAUUUGACGCCAUUUGGAUAUGAAAAAUACCUUUAAGCAAACAAAUACAAUAAUAGUAGGGGGAAGAAAAGGCAAAAUUAAAGACAUUUUUCAUAUUAAAAUCUUUAAAAGACUAUAUUCCUCAAUUCAUGCAAAUCUCCCACAACAAGUACACGCAUAAAUCACAUUCACAUGAGUUAAUGGAACUGUUAAACAAGAUGAGGACGCCAUACAUGAAAUAAAAUAAUAAUUUAAAGGAUAAAUUUUGGCUCUUUUUAGGAGAUAAGUUUUUGAAACAAAGACUGAUUCAUCCGCAGGAUGCAUGUGUAAGAUCAAAAGUCGUAGUGCAAAUCAUGCUAUGCCAUCGACGACAGCUUUUAAGAGACCUAGCGACUAGGAAUCGAAACCAAACCAACAUCAAAACACUCCGAGAUAGGAACAUUGGAGACAUUGAUGAGAAAGCUCAGCCCAAGACAUCGAUUAGGAACAAAUAAGAAGACCUAGAACCAUCAGUAAUGGUUGAAAUGAAAGCAAAAAAUAGAUUUUGAUUGCUCUUGGAUAUGGUACUCAUCAGCAAUGCCCGAUUAAGAGAAGAACAAAAUCACUUAUUAGUGCUUGAACUGACGUUGAGAGAUAGAGAGGGAGAGAAGAAUCGAUGGAUCCGAUUACCCCCGCCAUCGGAAGACCCCCGAGCGAAACAGGGGGAGAACGAAAGCUCUUCGAAUGCAAUUCCGCGAAACGGCGGGCGGUUACACAGCGGACGCAACUAAAUAGGAGAACAGGUCCAUUGUGA